UGUGUGUGCUGCAGAGGGCAGAGCCAGGGAAGUGACCUUUUGGAGGAGCCCAGAAGACGACUUCGGCCUACUACACAUGGGCAUGCUAACCACCCAAGGAAUGUGUCCUACCAAGCACCACAAAGAGCACAGGAACCAGGAACAGUCCUCAGAACACAACCAGGGUGUGUUCUCCAGACAUUGUCCCAGACCUGCAGGCACCUUAGGUUCCAGGAACAGCGGAGCCACAUAGUCACGUCACCUGCAGUGAUAUCAUCCUCCAAGCUGAACAGUCACCUCACAGGCAUCUGCUGAAGCCUCGGGCAGUUCUCAGAAGACUGAGCCGGUGAUCAAGCCAACCACACAGCACCAAGGCUGCCGGGUCCCAAGCACCUCUCUCCCCUCCCCCAACCACACAGGCUAAGACUGGGGCGGGGUUUCUCCACCUUCCCAACACGGUUAAAAAUCCUCUCCUGCUUUCUCACUUUUCCUAUGGUGUUUUUGUUUUGUGUUUUUUCGUGAGUGGCUGGAACUGAUGUGAUGAAACCCUCCAGCAUCGGGAACUGGUCUAGGAUUCCAGUUAUGUGACCUUGCCAUAAAACUCAGCAGUACUCCCUAUGGGGUCACAGGGUACCCUUCACCUGGAUGCUGAGGGGCUUUUUUGUGUCCUCUCAUACGACUGCCUGUGACUCUGUAAUGACCUUAAAAUAAGGAAUCAGCCAGAAGAAUCACACCAUGGGCCUGUUCACCAGGAAAGCAGCAGGUACUCAAGAGAGAAAUGGAGAUCUGCAGUGGCCCACAUCUGAUGGGGGGCAUGUUGUAAUCAGGCACAGGUUGGUGACAUCCUCUAGUCUCAUGCCACUGGCGUCCAGUUGAGUGCCAGACUCCUUGACCCACUUCCCAGCAGCCAUGUUGCUGCCGCGCCUGGGCACAGACGGUGAGAGCUCAGGAGAUGACAAUCAACCACCAAUGAAAACUGCGGGAACUAGCAAGACUCCUCUGCCUCCCUCUGUCCCUGAGGGCAGCUGUUACCUGACAAGGACCAAAGAACCAUAGUUUCCUGCUUCCAAAAUACUGUGCCCUGAUAUUUCACCGGACUAAAGCAAGCGAUGCCCAGCCUCCUGCUGCUGGAAGUGCAGGAGCUUCCGGGACGUAGCAGAGGGGACAGCAGUGACUGUGAUGGCCUGGGUGAAGGUGGCUGUGGGGGGCUCCUGGCCAGGCUAUCUGUCAGUUCUGCUAUCACAUGGGCAUACUCAGGGUUCCUCGGAUAAGUGACUGAUCUCUAAACCUGAGCAAAUAAUGCACCCGAUGAUCCUGGAGCGUCUGUGCCAGAGGGGUUUGAAGUCCUGUAACAGCAAGUAAACACAACAGUGAUGGGCAGCAGCAAGGCACGGACGCGGUUAAGGAGACACCAGAAGCCAACACUGGGGAGCCCAGAUGACUCAGAAGAAAACAGUAGACACCAGCAAAUGUCAGGGCAGGACAUUCUGCAACAGUAUGGUCAAGAUCAUUGAAAACAAGGGAGUGUGAGAAGCUGUCACUGCCAGGAAGGGUCUGAGAUGUGGAUUACCUGCAAUGUGUCCCCUGAAUGGAAUCUCAGAGCAGAAGAUAGUGGAGGGAAACUGAGGAAAAAGGAAGGGCAGAUUUUUCGAAGCAGCCCUAGUCCUAGCUGGUAACCAGGGCAAGUGUGCCUUUCCAGUGGGAGGUGCUUAUGGCGUGACUGGUGUGGGACCCGUGGGAACUCUGAGACAACUUCAAAAUUUCCCUGUACAUCAAAGCUGCUAUUUUUCUGAGGCAGGGUCUCUCAUUGACCUGGAACUUAACGAUUAGACUUGUGUCAGCAAGCACUGGGAAUCUGCCUGCCUCUACCUCCCCAGUCCUGGGAUUACAAGUAUGAACCACCCCCUUCCCAGGAUUUUUACAAGGAUUCUGUGGAUCAAACUCAGGUCCAGCUUGUGCAGUGAGCACUUUACCCCUGAGCCACCAACCCAGCCCAUGAUGUCGCUCUUAAUGACAGUUUUAUAAGAGCUGAUGUGCCAGACUGUAUUUUCUAAAGUGCCAUUUUGGGGUUCACAGUAAAGCUGAGGGGAUGGAAGAAGACACUGGACGUGAGGAUUUGGAGGCAAAUUGUGAUGUAGUGAUGUUGUUUCCAGGACCAUAGUACUUGGCUGUUCUCUGUACUUCACAAUAUGUUCAUUUUCUUUCUGGAUUUUAUUUAUUUUUUUUAAUCAUUUUAUCUUAUGUAUAUGGGUAUUAUGUCUGCAUCUAUGUCUGUGCACUAUGUGUGUUCUUGGUGUCCUUGGAGGCCAGAUCCCCUGGAGCUGGAGCUACAGACAGUUGGGAGCCAGCAUGUGGGUCCUAGGAAUUGAACUGGGUCCUGGGAAAGGUAAGCGCUCUUAACUGCCAAGCCCCCUCCCCAGCCCCUCUUUCUGGAUUUUAAAGUGGUAACUCCAGCCCCACACAUCUUCAAACCCAGCAACCCAUGCUGGUUCACACAGCAGAAGCUCUCCCACUGGAGUGGCCAGCUCCUUACACAGCCCACAGUCCAGGUGAAGCGGAGCCGAGGCCGGAAGUUGCGUGCAUCUCCUGAUGUCUGUCUCUGAAUGUGUUUGGGUUUGAAAACAAACUCUGUGUUGCUUCCCCCAGGAUGGGUGCCCGAUAGAUGGCUUGGAAGGAGAGCUGUAGCCUGUAACAAAACCUAAUGGGGGUGACCAGGCUGGGUCCCCACCGCUGGCACACGGAAAUUUCCAGAGACGCUUCUACCUCCCUCACAUCUUUAAUUUUUCAAAUGGACCUCUCUCCAGUUGCCAGGUUAACUCUGCUGCCAAGGCCAGGCGAAUGCUGGCAGCUCCCCAGGGAAGCAUUUUAAUCUCCAGCAUCAAACCAGACCCCUCUUCCAUCCGCCAUCUGCCUGUCUCCAGCCACCUCCACCCAGGGAAACCAGGAUGGGGCUGAGGGCCUAAUCGGAUCACAGCUCCGAGUUGUGCACUAAUCAGAUUGCUCUGCAGCCUGGCCCUGCCAGGGGAGCCUUCAGACUCCAGUCUGAGCCUGCUCAGAGUGCACACCCUCCUCCCAUUUCAAUUGGAAAGGAAUGGAGGUGAGUCUGAAUUGCUUAGAGGUCUCUGCCUUACUGCAGUCUGCUUGGGGUAAGAUCCGGCCCCUGUCUGUGACCUUGAGAAAGCAAUGAAUUGUCUCUGGGUCCGGCCUCCCGGACCCUGUAGUCAGUAAAGAAAUCCCUUUCCAGUUAUCGUUCUGGAGCCCUCUCGGUAUUUUUAUAAGGUUGUAAAUAGUCAGCCAUCACAUUCCUCCCAUGUAAAGUGGCAUCAUCUUUCACGGCCUUGCUGCUUUGCUGCCAGGGGGAGAGAACAGGUCAGACUUCCCCAGAGCAAGCUGUGCAGCUGGGUCAAAGAUCAAAGUCAGCCAUUUGACACAUGCAGAACAGACUGCCAGGGGGAUUGUAAGGGAGGCAGGGAGGGGCCUUGGCAAGAAUUGUGGGUGAGGGUUUGGCAGGGCUCUAAGGGAAGGGCAGAAGCUGAGGGGAGGGAGCCGGGGUAGCAUCCUACCCUGUUGCCCCAGGGACUGGGACCCUAUAGUGACUGCUUUCUUAUUUGGGGACUGUAUGCAGUCUGGGUGUGAUAGGCCAACUAUGGCUGUCCUUUCCCUGUGGCUUUGUAUCUACACCCUCUUCUGCUUUGUGUGGCUGUCCGUCUUCCCCCAGGCAGACUCACCCUCCACAACUGGAGUGUCUGCCCUGGUGAUAUGAAACGGCACGGCCCAGGCUCUGCCCAGGUCCUGUUCUGGAGCAGGCAAGCCCCUGCGUACCAUCGAGGCUGUUUCGUGGUCUGUGUUUGGAAGUCGAAGAUGGAUGUUCCCUCUCUUUCUUGAAUGGCCCUUGGUAUGGAUAGGAAGUCUGAAAAUGCUAACACUACUUUGAUACUAUAACAGAGGCUCCCCUGAGGAUGAGUUUUAUGGAACACUGCCUACUGAGAAAUCAAACUGAAACUCAAAUGACUUGGAACCUGUCUGCUCUCUUCCGGAUUGUCUAGACAAGAGUCAAUGUUCAGACCAUACCACAGUUUGGACCUGUAGCUGUAGCAUUCUUAAGGCUUGGAGUCCAGGUCCAGCUAUUGUUUACCUUCAAAGAAAUAAUCACAUGGCUUGGUUUCAAAAAGAAAGAAAGGAAGAAAAGAAAAGAAAAGAAAAGAAAAGAAAAGAAAAGAAAAGAAAAGAAAAGAAAAGAAAAGAAAAGAAAAGAAACGCCCAUCUAAGGCAGUUUGCCCUGGACAGCCUUGAGAUGGGAGGGUACCUCUGGACAGUCCUGAUGGCUCUUCUCACACAGCAAAGCCCUGGAGCCCUUAGCUACUGGAGUUAUCUUUCUUAAUAUCCCCAUAGCAUCAUAAUGGUGUAAAGACACAGGGCCUGGCCACUGGGGAGCACUGCUUUGUACUCAUCACUGUGACCCCUGUGUGGUGGUAACCAUGUCCUCUUCCCAGAAGCAUUGUGAAUUGAAGCUGUACCUAUCUCCUCCAUCUUACAGAGAUGGAGAUCUGUCUGAGAAAGACACUGAGCUGUCACUGAUGUCCCCAGUGGGAAGGGCAAGAUGGUAGCUCUGAAACUCCAAGCUCAGCCACUUUCCUGGGCCUGCCCCCUCCCCCUUCCCCCUCCCCUGCCCUGCAGGUGCACUGAUGUAGGAGGAGAGUAGGCAGGCUGGGCUUAGCUGUUUCAGUAACCGAUAUUUUCCUCCCUCUGUGUUUUUUUUUUCCCUUCACGGGUCACACCGAAUAGUUUCAAAAUCUAUAGUCCUAGCAUGCAUCUGUUUCUCCCUUUGACUUUUUAAGGCAUCAUCAUAAACAUUUCACUGUAUAUCAACAGAUUCCACUUUGGUUCAGGGUGUGUGUGGGGGGGAACCUGCCAUAUAGUCAGCAAUUUUUUUCUAUUUUAAUUCUUUUUACUUUUUCAAUAAAUGGCAUCCUGAUUUGUGCCUUCUCUAAUGAUUUUGCCACCUCUGUUUUUCUUUCAUGGGCAGCCUUGUUCUCCAGUUCACAGAUGUGACUCUAUCUAAUCUGCGUUUUGCUCUGAGAGAAUGAGACUCCGGAGUCUUGUACUGAGGUUUCUGGAACACUCCUGGGCACCCAUCUUCUGCCCAUCUCAUUCUUUUUGUGAUUUCCUGCUUCGUUUUCACUGGGCAGAGCCUCAGCUCUCCCAUUGUUCUAUUUCCUGCCUCUGAGCUCUUCUGGGUGAGUCAUACUCCCUGUCCUACCCGACUCGUGGAUGUGCGGAGCUUCACCUCCUCAGCCUGGCGCCCCUGCCCUGCUCUUACCUAGUCACACUCCAGCGGUUGCCAAAUCCUGUGAUGUGCUCUGCCCAGGUCACUGCACUGACUGAAUCUCUUCUUCCUUCAGCGACUUCUGCCGGACUCAGGAGUCUGGGGCUUUACCCACAUGGCUCUGGGGGUGGGGGUGGGGUGCUGUGUGAUAUGCGAUGUCUUUACAGGGUCAUGAAGUUGAAGAAAUGAGCUAGGAGUCCCAGGGUUUGUUCAGGAUGUAUCACAGGCUUCCACCUGUAUCACAGCCUUCCCUGCCCCCACCCCCAUGCCUGCCCAGCGCCACCGGUAGGCAGGGGUUCCUGGAUGCCCUUCCCCCCAACUCCUGUCUUCUUGUUUACCCUUCCCUUGUUCAUAAUUCAGGCUGCCCUUGGUGGGGAUGGGCUCCCCAGUUGCUGUAGCUCCGACCGGGGAUGGGGUGUUUGUUCCAGCCUCACUGAGCUCUGUGAGGAGACGUGGGGUCUCUGAGAAUCACUAUAGUCCACUGGAGGCCACGGGUGGACUCCCUGAUCUCUCUCCAGGUUCCACGUUUCCAGGAGAGAAAACACAAAACACCCGGUGCUUGUUUCACAUGCUGGAGCCUGAGGAGGAUUUGACUCUGAUCACUGUCAGGGUUGUGGGGCAGCCACAUGAACACAUAGGUUAACUAUGACACCAGGGAGUCUACCUGGGGACCAAGAUGAGGCUGAGGAGUUUCAAGAGAUGCUUCCAGCAACUCUAAAGCAGCAGCAAAGAGCACUACGCAUCAGCGGCAAUGCCAAUGUUGGAGCAUCGGAUCUCUCUGUUCUGCAUCGACAACUGGUCCAGACCCGGACUAGCUGAAAUCCUUGGUUUUAAGAGUCGGUCUCCCCCUAGAACUUUCCCAGAAACUAGGAUCCUCAGUUCCAUGUUUCCAGCUCUUCAUAGCCCGAAUCUCCAUCACCGCUGCGCCCUGUCGUUUCUGCCCUGGCUGCUCUCUAGCUGCUUCUGCCGCUGCCGGUGCCGCUGCGGCUGGUGCUGGUGCUGGUGCUGGUGCUGCGGCGGGUGCUACUUACUCCUGGGUUGUCGGUUCAACCCACCCUACUAAUGAUACGGAUCAAAAGUAGAUCAUUCCAGAAAAGCCUUUCAAGGACCUAAUGAUGCAGUAGCAAUAAGCAGCACAAGAGGGGGUCCUCCCAGCUGGCUCAAAAAGAGAGCCAAAUAGCUUGCUUAUUACGUUUUCUGUUGGGAUGGGAGGCAAAGUGCUCUCUGCUGUGGCCUGCGUGAAGAUGGCAUCGGGGUAAUCUGGAGCAGGGCUUUUUAAACUUUUCUACUCAUGACAUUCUCUCUCUCUCUCUCUCUCUCUCUCUCUCUCUCUCACACACACACACACACACACACACACACACACCACAAAAAUCCCAAACCUGUGACUGUUGACUGUUUUCAAGAAAGGCUUAGCAGGACCCUGUAUGAAUUCUGACCAAGUUCCCUCAGCUUGGGUAUAUAGGUAUAUUCAAUAGAUAAGUCAAGCAUGUACCUGGGUGUGGUGGCACGUGCCUUUAAUCCCAGCACUCCAAAGGCAGAGGCAGGUGGAUCUCUGCAAGUUCAAAGCCGGCCUGGUUUACAUAGGAAGUUCCAGGGCAAGUCAGGGCAUAGUGAGACCCUGUAUCAAACAAAAACAAGUCAGACAUGUACUGACUACAAAUCAUAAAUUAUACUUUGAAGUGACUUUUGGUAUACAUACAAUUUAACCCUUUAUUAAAGAAGAAAGAAAGUUUGCAUGCUGAGAAGAUGUACUCAUUUAUUUCUAUGUAAAGAACUGUUGACAUGUCCAUUCCUGCCGCCUCCUGCUUCGAUGUGUCCUGCUUGCUUGAGCUGCUGGUCCCACUGGCUUGUCUGGGCUGAUGGCGGGACCCUGUAUACAGCUCAGUGUCAUCUGCCUCUUUCCUCUGCAAAGCAGUUUUCGGGGCUGAUUUGUAUUUUAAACCCAGAAGUGCCGUGGCUCCCAGCCCUGCACACUGCAUUACGUGGCCUGUCCUGCUUCCAUUAGCUAAUUAUGCCUCUUAUCAUCUUUCAUUUGUAGAAAUAGAAUUUGGCUGCAUGUUCCAAGCUCUCUCAAGUCACAGUGACUCUCUUGUCCCUCAUUCGUCUUCGAUGUUGACAGCAGAUCUUGCCCCAGUCUUCUUGGCCCCACCCUGGUCUGCCCCUUCCUGGGAAGGACAGGGUUGCCCUUGACUUGUGCGUUACUGUUCUUAUCUUUGUGAGGAAAAAAAAAACUUGACAGAAAAACUGAAGGAAGGAAGGAAGGAUUUAUUUUGGCUCGUGGUUUCAGAAGGUACACUCCACCAUGAUGGGGAAGGUAUGGCAGGGUGGCUCACACCAUAACAUCUAGGAAGUAGAGAGCAUAUUCACACUAUGAGAUUUCCUCCUCUUCCUCUUUUAUUCCAUCCACACUAAUAGCCUAUGGAGAGGUAAUACCUGGUAGGUAAUACCAGGGUAGGUAUUAGUUCAUCCUUUCUAGAAACACUCCCAGAACUGUGCCUUACCAAUCUCCUAGGCGAUUCCAAACCCAGAUAAAAGCUAACAGAGAAGAUUAACUACUGUAGCAGAGCUCAGCUCCAGCCCUGAGAUGAGGGACAAAAGCAAACAGCACCUAGGAUCCUUGAGUGGGUGAUCGUUGGCAUCUUUGGACUGGUUCAGUUUGAUGCAGAAAUGAGGCAGAAGAGUCCUAGUUUAGGCUCUUGGCUUUCAUGAGCCAUUGACCUUCAAGUUGGUUUUGUUGGGAUCAUGGUAUAGGAACUAUGAAGCACCCCCUUUGUCCCUCUGAUGUCUGGCUACUUUCCUCAGGGUGAGAUGUCCCCAGGUACCAUACAGCUGAGCCAGGGAAUUCUAGAGCCACUCAUCAGGUGACAACCAGUGAGUACCAUCAAGGGACACUCUUCCUGGCCUGGUCUCCAUUCUAGUCUUUCUGACUAGAUGGACUUGGUGUGUCUUGUUAGAGUACAGUGAAGCAGUCUCUCCCCCAGCAAAUGGCUUUUGAAGAUCUGACUCCUCCAAGUUGUACUUGCCUUUCAUCAAGGAGGACCAAUCAGGAAAGGGUUGCUGGCCCAGCGUAUUUGUGACCCUGCUUCUUGGCCCUGGCCUUCCUGCAGAGCCAGGCUUCCUGGCCUGGGAUGUUUGUGACCUUACCCUCUUAGCUAUGUCCUUUCUGCAGAGUCUGACCUAACAUCCUUAUCACACAUUCACAUCCUUAAGCUCUGCAGUCCCGGGCUUAGAGACCAUGCUAGAGCUGGCACCUCACUGCUUCCUGUGGGAUGGCUUUUCCUAAGAAACCAGGAAGGCAGCUGGCAGCUGGGAGAAGGCUCUGUCCUCUGGUGGCUCAGAUAGGGUUAGUGGGAGGGCAGACUCAGCAGACCAAUGAAGGAGACUUCCAGAUGGCAGAGGUAUAGCAGGCAGGUCCCACACCCACAGGCCGGGCCUGUGUUACCAAGAUACUUCUCCCCAUCAGGACAGUGAUAGCCUGGUACUUAUGACCCCAGAAGUAAAAAAUCUCCACCACGUGACAUGAUGCUGUCUUGGAGAUGAUUCUCAAGGGCCUCAAGGCUCCGUAUAGGCAAACCUCUUAAUGGGUCUCCUCCAGCAGCUGUCCUUAUGUCCAAAGUCUCUGAGGGUUGGAGAACAGGACCAGUCAACUGGGCUUUGCUUAUGUGGUCACCUGGCUUGCCUGUGGCUCCCUCUGGACUAGGGAGUAAUUUUUAUCUUUUUGCUGAGAAGAAGAGGUACCUAGGGGAUUCCUAGUGUGAUACUACUCUUCCUGAGCUCUUUUCAAUAGGGAUGAGAUAUAUUUAUUAAGGCACAUGGGCUUUGAACUGCUGCCAAGCUACACCAACAUUUGAGGUUGGGGGAAGGAUCCCACUCUGCCCAGAAGACACACAGCCAAUGCUUUGAGAACCAUGUGGCCCUCACUGAUAGGCAAUGAAGCUACAGGGUAAGUCCAGGGCCUCAGGAGCUCCAUCAGAAGAGGCAUUUCUAACUUCACAGGCCCCUCCUUCUAGAAAAGUGUGAGAAAAAAUUCCAUUUUCCAAAUGUGUUAAUAAAAAGAACAAUGUGUUAAUAUUAUAUGUGAAAUAUUCUCUUUGACCUAAAUGUUCUUCUUUAUUUUUUUCUCUCUCUCUUCUUAAAAUGUCAAUAGUAAUUGCGACCCUUGUGGGAGCAUGAGCCUAGAAAGGGAGGCGAAAGUAGUGGUGGGAUCUUGGAGGCAACAUGGGUGACCAACAGGGUAUGAGGCAUCAGGAUCCACAUGGGAAGGAAGCAGGACACAGAGCCUAAGUGUGUAGGGAAGACUGGCAGGCCAGUGUGUGACCCAUGAAGGGAGUCAGUCCUUGUUCAGGGGUGCAAAUCCGGAUCCCCGAGACUUGCUUCCACAUGAGAUACCACCCCUUACCUAGGGCCAGGAGAUCUCAAGUGCUUGGACCUGUUGUCGGGUGAGCGGUGGCAACGUCCAGGGUGCAUGUUUGGUUGAAUCUCAGUGCUCCUAGGUCUAUAUCCUUUGACCCGGGGCAGACCCACGGCUACUUCUACAGUGAGUCAUCACUUAAAAGACUGCUUCCCCUACCCCAUGGCUGUCUGUCUGUCUGUGCUGUACUCUGUGCUCCCUUCUUCCUCGGCCCCACUGCUGCAUCUCAGGUGCUCCCUGGGUGAGUCCACUCCCACUGUGAUACUUCAGCGGCGCCUCGAACCCACUGACUCAGACAUGAUCGUGUCUGCCCGUGACUGCAGCUGCGGGGGGAAGGAGAGGAGAGAGGGUCACAGUCCUGUACAGAUCCCAGGGGACACCAUGCCUGCUUCUGGCCUCUGGCCCAGCUGAGUAGCGUCACCACUUGGCUCCAGGCCACUCUGCGGGCUCCUCUGGGUUUCUGCAGCUUUCCUCUCAAGGGCAACUAUGGGAGCUGUUUUGGAGGUGGCACGACCUUGGGUGUGUGUGAAGGCUCCUGCACACAGCAAAAUCCUGCCCCGGGUGUGAGGACUGGGUGGAGGGAGGAGGGGAAAUGGGCAGUGGGUGAGGAGGCUUCUAUUCCGGAACCUUCUUCAGAGAGCCUCCUGGGACUAGUUUGCAAACCGUAGUUACCAGUAGCUACCACAGUGGGAGGCAGGCCUCAGCCUUAUCAAUUCUUUGUCCAGCUCUUCCUGUGAGCCAGUGCUCAUUCAGUCUCUCAUCUACUCAUUCAUUCAUUCAUUCAUUCAUUCAUUCGUUCAUUCACAUACAUUCACUCUGUCACUCAUUCUUUUACUUAUUAAUUUAUUUAUCCCACCAUUCAUUCACUCCAUUUUUUUUUUCAUUCUAUCAUCGUGCAUCCUUGGGGUUGCCCUGUGUUGAGGCAAACCCAUCUGAAAUACAAAUGACUCAAGCACAUGUGUUCAAGAUGGGUUCCUGUCUGGUCGAUGUCCAGUAUGGGGGGUCCCCUAACCCCUCUCCAUCUUGCCCAUCCUCUCUGUGCCCCUUCUUUGGAGAAGGUGGGCAGAGCUUGGUGGGGGCAGCUGCUGAAGGGGUGUUAGAUGUUCACAGAGCGUUUUCCCCCUGUAAGGUCUGUCAUGUGUCGGUACAUAUCUCAGUCUCAUAAUAAAUAGACGGAUGCUCAAAUACCGCGUUGCCUCUCCCCUGAAGAUAGACUUCGUGUAAUUAUUUCUGUCACCAAUCUGAGUUGACACAGUAAUUGGGAAACCAGCUGGAUACUGUUCAUAAGGAAAGUUAAUUAAUCAAAUUUUAAACUAUUUUUUCUUCCCUUCCUUUCUUAAAAUGGGGUUAAAACUAAUUAAUAUAUGUGCAUGAUAAAUUUUAAACAGGAUGAAGGUGAUAAAACUGGAGAGAGUCUUUCUCUGCCCUAUCUUACACAUGUAGUCUUUCAGAAAACGAUUUGCAGGUCCAAAGAGUGUAUGUAAGAGAAUGUAUGAGCCCACACAAAUAAGUUAAAAACAUCAGUGAGAUCACACUAGGUAAUACAGCUCAGUGUCUUGACAUUGAACGAAUAACAAAUUGGAGAGCCCCAUAUAUUAGUCUGAAUAAAGCCUUGCUCAUUCUUUUGAACUUCCUAUUUUUUCCCCCAGUGGGCUGCUGUCUGUUCUUGGGGAAGAUGAACGAAACUUCUCUUAUGACCAGUGCUUGUGGUUCUGUCACUGUUGGCUUUCUGUGUUUGGAACAUGCUCUUGGGUGCAUACGGGUUUGUCACCGUUCUUAACUGGGGAGCCAGCCAUUCUUGUCAUCUUCAACCUUCACCAUGCCAGCUAGGUUGGGUUUGGGGGUGGUCAUAGUGCUUUAGCAGCCCUCAGCUGGCUGGUGCUGGUUUAAUAAAUCCUCACCUUUCCAUUGUCCCAGUAUCACCAUAUCCUGUGUAUUGUCUCUCCUAAAGAAUGUGUUUAUAAAGUCGUGUGGGUCAUAUAUGUACACCACAGUACAUAGUGCACGCACCCCAGGCAAGAGAUGAGGAAGAGGAUUUUUUCUCUCAACCUCAGGCUACCGCCAUAUGUGACUUGGUUUUCUGGUCAGUCCCCGUGCUGGCUAGUUUUUAACGUCAGAUUGACACAGGUUAGAGUCGUUUGGAAAGAGGGAACCUCGCUGAGACAACGCCUCCACCAGAUUGACCUGUGGGCAAGCCUGUGAGGCAGCAUCUUGAUGAAUGAUUGAUGUGGGUGAGCCCAGUGCCACCCUUGGGUGGGUGGUCCUGGAUGGUAUAAGGAAACAGGCUGAGCAAGUCAUGAGGAGCAAGCCAGUAAGCAGCACUCCUCCAUGACCUCUGCAUCGGCUCCUGCCUGGAGUUCCCUAGAGGAUGGACUACAAGCUAUAAGCUGAAAUAAACUGCUUUCUCCUCAGGUUGCCUUUGGUUAUGGUGUUUGAUCACAGCAAUAGAAACCUUGACUAAGACAGUCCCUAGAACACUGGUCUCCCUACUGGUGUCCCGCAGAAGUCAAGCACUCAGCUCUCAGAGUGGGAGCUGAUUGGUAGGCUCAGCAAAUUUCUGACAGCACUCCC